ACCAGACUCCUACGGGAGGCAGCAGUGGGGAAUAUUGCACAAUGGGGGAAACCCUGAUGCAGCGACGCCGCGUGUGGGAAGACGGUCCUCUGGAUUGUAAACCACUGUCCCCAGGGACGAAGAUGACGGUACCUGGGGAGGAAGCUCCGACUAACUACGUGCCAGCAGCCGCGGUAAUACGUAGGGAGCAAGCGUUGUCCGGAAUUACUGGGUGUAGAGGGAGCGUAGGCGGGAUGGCAAGUUGGGUGUUAAAUCUACCGGCUCAACUGGUAGUCGCACUCAAAACUGCUAUUCUUGAGUGAAGUAGAGGCAGGCGGAAUUCCUGGUGUAGCGGUGAAAUGCGUAGAUAUCAGGAGGAACACCGGCGGCGAAGGCGGCCUGCUGGACCGUGACUGACGUUGAGUCUCGAGAGCGUGGUGAGCACACAGGAUUAGAUACCCCCGUAC
rnacentral:rRNA from 1 species